ACGCUCGACACCUACGGGGGGCAGCAGUGGGGAAUAUUGCACAAUGGGGGAAACCCUGAUGCAGCAACGCCGCGUGAGUGAAGAAGUAUUUCGGUAUGUAAAGCUCUAUCAGCAGGGAAGAUAAUGACGGUACCUGACUAAGAAGCUCCGGCUAAAUACGUGCCGGCAGCCGCGGUAAUCUGAGGCGGGCUGGCAAGGC
rnacentral:rRNA from 1 species